AUAUUAUAAGAGGACAUGCUUAUACCUUCUAAGUUUAUUAAAGUAAGUUUAUUUGUAAGAUAUGUGAAUGGGGUCAUCCUGUAUCUGACAAUAUUUAUUGAUAAAACAAUAUUGAUAUCAUAUUUUUAAGAUGCUUUUAUUUUAUUUUGUUCUUAUCUAUUGAGCACAUCUUGAUUAUCUAUUUAUAUUUUCUGAUAUACAAUAAGUACCUCUUGAUGAUACUUUUGCCUUGUGUUGUGUUACAGCUACCAUGCUAAACUAGAUAACAUGUUAGUUUUUGAUUGUGUAUCGAAUAUAUAAACGAUUUAAGCAAUAUGAAAAGUGCAUUUUUUAUUGCAUUACGCCUUGACAAAUUGGUGUAUGUGAAAAUUUUCAUGUCAUGUGAUGAUCUUUUACGGAAGAAGCAACUUUGCUACAUCCUUGCUCACCAUCGUAAAACGUUUGAGCUUGAUAAAUAUAUGUGUAGUGAAUGAAGAUUUAAAAGGAUUGCAGUUUAUUAUUGGCAACAAUAAACUAAUUGAGGGUUAUUUUACCAUGCUCGUGAUAUUGAUGUGAUGGAGCCUAAAUCCCUUGCGGACAUUUACAAGGCUCAUUUGGUUGAUGAUCGUGGUGUUGCUGGAACAAUUGUUCUCUCAGCAAGACACAAAU